GAUGAACGCUGGCGGCGUGCCUAAUACAUGCAAGUCGAGCGAACGGACGAGAAGCUUGCUUCUCUGAUGUUAGCGGCGGACGGGUGAGUAACACGUGGAUAACCUACCUAUAAGACUGGGAUAACUUCGGGAAAACGGAGCUAAUAACGGAUGAUAUUUUGAACCGCAUGGUUCAAAAGUGAAAGACGGUCUUGCUGUCACUUAUAGAUGGAUCCGCGCUGCAUUAGCUAGUUGGUAAGGUAACGGCUUACCAAGGCAACGAUGCAUAGCCGACCUGAGAGGGUGAUCGGCCACACUGGAACUGAGACACGGUCCAGACUCCUACGGGAGGCAGCAGUAGGGAAUCUUCCGCAAUGGGCGAAAGCCUGACGGAGCAACGCCGCGUGAGUGAUGAAGGUCUUCGGAUCGUAAAACUCUGUUAGUAGGGAAGAACAUAUGUGUAAGUAACUGUGCACAUCUUGACGGUACCUGAUCAGAAAGCCACGGCUAACUACGUG
rnacentral:rRNA from 1 species